rnacentral:rRNA from 1 species
UACAGAGGGUGCGAGCGUUGUUCGGAAUUAUUGGGCGUAAAGGGCGCGUAGGCGGUGCCACAAGUCACUUGUGAAAUCUCCGGGCUUAACUCGGAGCCUGCAGGCGAAACUGUGGUGCUGGAGUGUGGGAGAGGUGCGUGGAAUUCCCGGUGUAGCGGUGAAAUGCGUAGAUAUUGGGAGGAACACCAGUGGCGAAGGCGGCUCACUGGACCGGAACUGACGCUGAGGCGCGAAAGCGUGGGGAGCAAACGGG